rnacentral:rRNA from 2 species
UUACUGCGAAGGGGGGACGGAGAAGGCUAUGUUGGCCGGGCGACGGUUGUCCCGGUUUAAGCGUGUAGGCUGGUUUUCCAGGCAAAUCCGGAAAAUCAAGGCUGAGGCGUGAUGACGAGGCACUACGGUGCUGAAGCAACAAAUGCCCUGCUUCCAGGAAAAGCCUCUAAGCAUCAGGUAACAUCAAAUCGUACCCCAAACCGACACAGGUGGUCAGGUAGAGAAUACCAAGGCGCUUGAGAGAACUCGGGUGAAGGAACUAGGCAAAAUGGUGCCGUAACUUCGGGAGAAGGCACGCUGAUAUGUAGGUGAAGUCCCUUGCGGAUGGAGCUGAAAUCAGUCGAAGAUACCAGCUGGCUGCAACUGUUUAUUAAAAACACAGCACUGUGCAAACACGAAAGUGGACGUAUACGGUGUGACGCCUGCCCGGUGCCGGAAGGUUAAUUGAUGGGGUUAGCGGUAACGCGAAGCUCUUGAUCGAAGCCCCGGUAAACGGCGGCCGUAACUAUAACGGUCCUAAGGUAGCGAAAUUCCUUGUCGGGUAAGUUCCGACCUGCACGAAUGGCGUAAUGAUGGCCAGGCUGUCUCCACCCGAGACUCAGUGAAAUUGAACUCGCUGUGAAGAUGCAGUGUACCCGCGGCAAGACGGAAAGACCCCGUGAACCUUUACUAUAGCUUGACACUGAACAUUGAGCCUUGAUGUGUAGGAUAGGUGGGAGGCUUUGAAGUGUGGACGCCAGUCUGCAUGGAGCCGACCUUGAAAUACCACCCUUUAAUGUUUGAUGUUCUAACGUUGGCCCGUUAUCCGGGUUGCGGACAGUGUCUGGUGGGUAGUUUGACUGGGGCGGUCUCCUCCUAAAGAGUAACGGAGGAGCACGAAGGUUGGCUAAUCCUGGUCGGACAUCAGGAGGUUAGUGCAAUGGCAUAAGCCAGCUUGACUGCGAGCGUGACGGCGCGAGCAGGUGCGAAAGCAGGUCAUAGUGAUCCGGUGGUUCUGAAUGGAAGGGCCAUCGCUCAACGGAUAAAAGGUACUCCGGGGAUAACAGGCUGAUACCGCCCAAGAGUUCAUAUCGACGGCGGUGUUUGGCACCUCGAUGUCGGCUCAUCACAUCCUGGGGCUGAAGUAGGUCCCAAGGGUAUGGCUGUUCGCCAUUUAAAGUGGUACGCGAGCUGGGUUUAGAACGUCGUGAGACAGUUCGGUCCCUAUCUGCCGUGGGCGCUGGAGAACUGAGGGGGGCUGCUCCUAGUACGAGAGGACCGGAGUGGACGCAUCACUGGUGUUCGGGUUGUCAUGCCAAUGGCACUGCCCGGUAGCUAAAUGCGGAAGAGAUAAGUGCUGAAAGCAUCUAAGCACGAAACUUGCCCCGAGAUGAGUUCUCCCUGACUCCCUGAGAGUCCUGAAGGAACGUUGAAGACGACGACGUUGAUAGGCCGGGUGUGUAAGCGCAGCGAUGCGUUGAGCUAACCGGUACUAAUGAACCGUGAGGCUUAACCUU